GGAAAGUUUAGGAAACAAUCUUAACUACAUCUAAGCCUCUAAAACUGGAACAUACCUGAGGAUCCCCUGGAGCUUGUUCAGACAGAUGCCUGGGCCCCACCGCCAGAGAUUCUGACCCAUCAAUUCUGCUUCUACACCCACAUCUGCUGCUGCUGCUGCUGCUGCUAAGUCGCUUGUCGUGUCCGACUCUGUAUGACCCCUUAGACGGCAGCCCACCAGGCUCCCCCAUCCCUGGGAUUCUCCAGGCAAGAACACUGGAGUGGGUCUAGGCAACCUUUAAUUUAUUUAAUGUUUACAUCUGAUGCCCGGACUCCUGUCUGCCCCUGAAGAAUGUGGCUCAGAUGUGUUCCUCCACUCUUCAUACUUUGGACAACUGCCUUAGGAGGUCUGGAAUGCACCUUUCCACUGGUCAAGCUCCCUUCCCCUGACAUGGCUGGAGGCUGUUCAAGUUGCGUAAAGAGCCACACUCCCCUUUAUGAUUCUGGAGGCUGAGACGUCCAAGACCAAAGCACCAGCAGAUGUGGUGUCUGGUUUCUUCCUUGAAAGGACAUCUGUUUGGGUCAUAUCCAUGUCACCUCUUCAAUGUCACCAAAUCUGGCUGCAGUGCUCCACAAGACCACUCUGGUUUAGGUCAGCAAGGGUGUCAUUUCACUCAUCUCCUCUGAAGUAGGAUGUUCUCCUCUGGAAACUUUGUUUCUUUGCCAUUGGAAACGCUUGAUUCUCUUUGCUUUCUCCCUUUGCCAUUUCUUAGAAUCAAGGGAGCUUUCAUUCCUAUCUCUCUGAAUAUUGGCCAUCACAAGGUCUCUUCCCUGGCCCUCUCCUCCUGUCUCCUUCACUCUAAAUAUGCUCUUUGACUACAUCUGUUUCCAUGGCUUCAAUUACCAUGUCCUUGUAGAUAUGUUGAAAAUCUCUAUCUUAAAUCCAGAUCAUCUGAACUCCAGAUAUAAAAUUCAAGUGCUCCCUGGAUUUCACUUGGCUCCCAAAACCCACCCAAAAAGAAUUAAUCAUUUCCUCCCCAUCCUUGACCUGCUCCUUCUCUGAAAUUCUGCAUAUCUAGGAGUGACCCAUCUAUUUAUUAUUCAAGCCCCAAACUUGGAAUUCACUCCUGACUUCUCCUUUCAGCUCAUCUUCUGGCUUCCUCCAUAACUGACCAAAUCCUGUCCAUUUUGCUUUCUAAAUACUUUUUUUUUUAAUACCUCCCUUCUGUUCCAUUAGUUCAGAGGUCAGGCCCUAAUCCCUGCCCCCCUCCCCCCAUCCACACUUGAACUUUUACAAGUAUCCUAAUUGCCCUUUGGUUUCUCAUC